rnacentral:lncRNA from 1 species
AGCAAAUGCAAACCACAACAUGUGAAGGUUUGAGGACCCAGUGGAUCAUUUUAUUUUUGAUGGAAAUGUACCCACAACAACUCAGAAAAUGUUGUAUGUCUGCGCUAACCAUUUCACCACAGACUGUUUUACCAACGAGGGGCAGUUCAAAGCAAGAUUCAAUAAGAAGCUGAAGAUAAAACCUGGAUCCGUACCAACUGUCCGUGUCAGGGACCCAACUUCAAACAUGGCAUCUGUAAGUUUUACCAUUUUAUGUUGCUUUAUGUAUGACGAGUGCUUUGGCUGCAAUCACGUGUGUUUAUCAUCGUUGGUAUUUGUCUUCGAACUCACUUCUAUUUACCUUUAUUCCCGAGAGCAAAAGAAGGGGGUAGAGGCUGGGUAAUAUCCACAAAUAGAUUGAUGUUUUAGACAACAAACUUUAAACUUACUAUUAUGGGACCUCUGGGGCUGAUUUAAACUUGAUGAAAAAUGCCAUAAUAGGGGACCUUUAAACUGUUCUUUAUGUUACCAGUAUUUGUGGGCAUGAUAGGUAAUCUGUUAGGUUUUGCCCAGAAGAGCCUUGCAUAUGUGAAACUGUUGCUAGGGGGUUCUACAUCAUCAUAUUAAGUGUAAUACCCCUGAUUACACUGCAGCAUUUGACAAAUGAGGAGUAAAAACCUGAUGGUCUAUUCUGAUCACACUGACUAACUCAAGCCUUGCAUAACAAGUCAUAUUUUUAAUACUUUGAAAUCUGCAGCAUAACUCUGCAUGUUGUAUGAAUACAGUUUUGCGGUCUCACUUUGACAGGACAUCAUGCUUUGAAAUUUGUACAUCCCAAGAUUCUUCCUCAUGUGUCUGUGUUUACGCCCUCAGUCUGAAAUAUCCACAACUGCAGAGGAUUGUGGGUCAUAACGGCUAAAACUAUGAUGGCUUGUAUGCUGCAAAAUGCAAGAGGAUGUAGUGGGCCAUCUUUGCAAUUUGUCACUCUGAAUUUGCAAUUUGGUCAGGCCUCAUCUUUAUGUGGUGUCCCAAACAUCCUUCACUAACAGGCGAGUGGUUUAAAUAGCUGGAACACAGGCUCAAACUCUGUCAUUUCAGACCCCCUAUGCCCUGCAGGACUUUGUUCCCCUCAUUCCCAUCACCGUUUUGGUUCAGCUUAUUUACUCACCUGCUCUAUUCCCUCAUUAGUAUGUAUCCCGACCUUUUUCCACUCUAUCUUCACCACACUGUGUCUGCCCAGCUUUCUAGUCUUGUUCUUCCUCCUCGAUCUGAUAAAUUGCCUGUUUUUCCUUCCUAGUUUUGACCCCUCCUCUGUUAUCAGACUAAAGUCAACUUUUGUUUUAACAUUUCUGCCAGUGAGCCCUGGUUUCAGUUUCUUGUAAGGGGUUUUCUGAGAAUUUGGUAUUCUUAUUGGAAGAUUUAAUAUGUGUCCUCUGUUAUCUGUUAUCAGAUAUAUAUUUCUAUCAUAAUUAUAAAUCAGUGGGUCUGAUAUAUGGUUUAUGUAAGAGACACAUACUUUGAAGCUCUUGUUAGGAAAUUACAGUUUGUGUCAACUUUGGCACCCCCCUGUAGACAAAGCAGUCUUUCCUGAUCCAAACUUAAGGUCCUUACACACCAGCGAAUUUGCGGAGUGAAAAAGCGAGACGAAAAUGUGAAUAUUCGCCGGUCCGAAAAAUCGCUUUCACCUGUACACACCGGGCGCGAAUGCGUAUAAAUUUUGCAAAGCGAAUUUUUAUAUAUAUUGUCUUUGGCGCGAGUUCUUUCGCGCCACGGAGGAGAGGAGAACAAAGAAAUUGAGUCAACAACAUCCUCAAGCGAUGAUGAGCUCGUUGUGAUGCUUUUGGCAAAAAAAAGAAGACAGAAGAAUAAACAAAGGAGUGUUUGGAAACAUCCCAUAUUGACUUUGAGGAAGGAGAUGGGCGAGUUUCACACCACCAUCCAGUGGUCCUGUACAGCAAUUACCAGCCUCUCUCCCAUCGUUGCUCUCUGUGCCAGUGGUGGUGUGUGUCGUGUGAACUGCAGCCUCAUGGGUCUGUGACGUCAUCAACAACAUGACUUUUGGUUGGCCAGAGGUCUAGCAGGUCCAGAUAUUCGCCUGUGAAUCUUCAAAAAUUCGACACAAGAGCGAAAAAAUAAAAGUCGCUUUUCGCCCCGCGGAAAAAUCGCCGCCGGUGUGGAAGCUUGCAUUGAAUUUAUGCUGGCGAAUUCGCGCCUGGUGUGUAAGGACCUUUAAUAUCAUUUGGCCAAAAAUCUGCAACUUUUUUUUGAGAAUAUUUCAUGAGGAAAUGUGAAAAGGCUUUUUCUCCAGCAGCUCGACUUACGCCUACCCCCUCAUACAUCUUUGAGGCAUCAUAAACUACAUAUAAACUACAGUAUAAAAAUAACCGUAUCAGUCUUGUCACUGAUGGUCUUGUUUGCUUCUGUGUAUUGUAAAAAAGGCAUCAAUAUGAAUCUAGGUCUGUUUAAUUAGUGACUCAUAACUCCUCGUGAGAGCUUUGAAAUAAAGAUACAGCAAAGUGGUGUUUUGGUUUUUUGAACCCUGACACACCAGUGGAAAUCAAAGGCUUUCCACAUCGUGUAUAAACCUGAAUGUAAAAUGAUCUUUUUCCCCCUUUGGAAUACAUCUAAGAAGAGUUUUUCUUCUUUUUACUCAGAAUUUAGUAUUUAUACUUUUAAAGAAAUAAUAGCUUUUAAGUUUUAAGAGGCCUCACGUUGCAUAAGUGCCCGUGAAGCAGAUUUUAAAUCAUAGAUUAUCAUUUUUAAUAAUUGAGAUUUCUAAGUCAAAUAAAGUAAUCAUGAUUAGGAUUGUUGUCGUAAUUUAGUACUUUUCCCCAGUAAAGAAAUAAGAUAGCACAGAUUUGAAUGAGACAUUCAGUUUGCGGUCCCCAUGCUGUUGUCUUUAGGCACGAGACACAAAAUGCACAAAAAAUAAGUCAAUGUAGGAGACAAUGUAGACAUUGAGUCUCUAGUGAAUUAAAAAAGACAAGAUUUAGUUUGAAGGUUUUCUCUAAGAACAAAAGCAUCCAAGUCCAAACCAAACCAAACCACACAGACCAUUUUAAAUGAAUGUGUGUAGAAAGAGAGGAAACAUACUCUUAAGGGCACCUUAAAACAGAUGAAAGGAGUGAAAGACAGGAAGAAAAUCAGACUGUAAAAGGUACUUUGAAAUGCUAAUGAGACGCUAUUUCAAAGCUAAUGUAUUUAUGGGUUUGUGACAGUCUCAUUGUGUUAAGAUGGCCAGCAUGGUGUCCUAUAUUAGCUUUCUCCCCUUUCACACUGAGCGUCCUCAUAUCUAGAAGAGGGAAUUUAAAGUGAUUAUAGUAACUCUAAAAUAUCUGCAGUAGACAGUUUCAACUGAUUAGUAUCGAGCAUCAGAAGCUGACUCUGGUGCGACCUUUUCUGCGGCAGCUUUAGCUGCACAGCCCAGCACUUGUCAAGACCAAUGUUCAUUCAUGUUUCAGAGCGAGGUGCAGCAGUCUACACAGGUUGGCAUCCAGCAGCAGGGAGAGGUCACACAGCCAGCGAGGGAUGCCUGCCCCAUCCCUCUCUGAUUACCAAUUACCGCCGCGCUCUCCAGCGGAGGUCCAGGCCGAGCAGCCGGCUCCAUCUUAAUGAGACAGAGGGCCACUGCCAUGAAUGUGACAUCAGCUUUCUAAAUACCACAGCAGAUCAAGCACACAACCCGUGCUUUGUCCCAGACUCACAAUACCCAGCAGCCCUGUGAUGAGAGGCGACACAGAGACAGAGAGAGGGGGAUUACAGAGGAGAGGCGGGAGGAGGCGUAAUAGAGGAAGACAGAGGGAAUAAAGAGAAAGAUGCUCUUACCAGCGUUACCUGUCUCCUCCUGCUCUCUGAUCUUUCCUCUCAUUUCUGCAGAUCCAAAGGUUUUUUACGGAUUCAUAAUUAGCUGACCCUGACGCUAAUUAGUAAUGCACUGCGCAGUAUGGAUUCAGAUUAGAGCGCACAGAAUAUUUCCUGAACGGCAGACACCUUGCCAAUCAGAGGAAGAGGGCUUUGUUAGAGAGCUGCUCUGCAUGCUCAUCAAGAUGCCACUGGUGAGGAAGAGGAGUGU